rnacentral:rRNA from 1 species
UACAGAGGUCUCAAGCGUUGUUCGGAUUCAUUGGGCGUAAAGGGCGCGUAGGCGGCGGGGUAAGUCGGGUGUGAAAUCUCAGAGCUCAACUCUGAAAUGGCACUUGAUACUGCUCUGCUAGAGGACUGGAGAGGAGAUUGGAAUUCACGGUGUAGCAGUGAAGUGCGUAGAUAUCGUGAGGAAGACCGGUGGCGAAGGCGGAUCUCUGGACAGUUCCUGACGCUGAGGCGCGAAGGCCAGGGGAGCAAACGGG